rnacentral:rRNA from 1 species
AGCGAACGCUGGCGGCAGGCCUAACACAUGCAAGUCGAACGGGAAAACAGGGGCAACUCUGUGAGUACAGUGGCGUACGGGUGAGUAACACGUGACUAACCUGCCCUUCGGUGGGGGAUAACCUCGGGAAACCGGGGCUAAUACCGCAUAACAUCUCCGGGAUGAGAAGCCGGAGAUCAAAGGAGCAAUUCGCGGAAGGAGGGGGUCGCGGCUGAUUAGCUAGUUGGCGGGGUAACGGCCCACCAAGGCGAUGAUCGGUAGCCGGCCUGAGAGGGCGCACGGCCACACUGGAACUGAAACACGGUCCAGACUCCUACAGGAGGCAGCAGUGGGGAAUUUUGCGCAAUGGGGGAAACCCUGACGCAGCAACGCCGCGUGGAGGAUGAAGUCCCUUGGGACGUAAACUCCUUUCGACCGGGACGAUAAUGACGGUACCGGUGGAAGAAGCCCCGGCUAACUUCGUGCCAGCCGCCGCAGUAACAC